UAUGAAACCUGUACCCUGCUGGAAUGUCAUUCUCCAUUGAUAUACAGUCACCUCCUGGAUGGGAUGAUAUAGCAGCUGGCAAACAGGGCAAUGUCUUAGUAGGACAUUUUGUGCCUCAGGUGCCCCCCUCUUCCUCCUCCCCUGUUUUUUCAGCCAGCCAGAGAGAGGAAGAGGAGGGUGACAAUCAGCCAGAGGUCCGUGGCCCAAAAACUGAAAAAGGAGAGCAAGCACUGGGGCUGGUGGGGACCAAGGUGCAGCAACGCUGCUUGCUGGAGCUUCCCAGAAACAUCUCACUACGAGGCCCUCACUGGAAACCCUGCAGAAAAGCCUUCAGCUGAGGAGCAGCCACUGGUGGCUUCAAUUUACUGCAUCUGUAGCUACAGCUUCACUGGAAAUUGGUGGCUGAAAUCAAUAAAUCUCAGAACCUAGAAUCACCUCUAAUUUUAAGGAGAAAAAGCCCCAAAAUUGUGCUACUUCAGAGGUGAGCCUGUGAGCAGCUGCUGACAAAUCAUUAAUUUUGCAGAAGAAAAUAUCCGCAUGUUUUUGAGAGCACGGGCCCUGCUUUUGCUUGGCACGGGGUCAAACAAACAGCACCUCCUUGGGGACCCAGAUCUUCUCUGUUAUAUUAUCACUGCUGCAUCAGACACUUCAAUGUCACAGCAUCAGCUCCUUACAGAGGGGAAGGAGCUUCCCUUGAUUAGUGUGACUUUCUGCUCAGGAGUUAUUUAAGGAAGCAGUUUCUGAGUGUUGUCUUUUGCGGUAUGUGCUGGGACAGCCGAAGGUUUCUGUCCCAGGUGGUACAGACGCAAAUGGGGUGUGGGACAGUGAAUCUCGGCUGUGUCUCCUGAGCUUGGUCCAGAAGCAAACACCCAGCAUUCAUUUCAGUGCUGUCAAAAGACGGCAGAAGACAAACAAGGACAUCCUCCUGCUCUAGGCAGCCUGGGAAGGUAAAGGACACCACCCUGGCCUGCUUGCUAAGGAAAGGACACGUGAAAGCUCCUCUCCUGCAGGCAUACCCACCAGCCGUGGUGUGCUGAACACCAGAACCUGUGUGCCAAUGGAGGGUUGUUGGAGCUGAAAGCUUCAAACAAUUUAGUAGAACAGUCUUUUGGUGCCUCCCUUAGCACCCCUUCAUUCGGUGUCAGGAGAGACUCUGGCUGGGCUGGUUUUAUUUAUAAACCCGCAGUGAGGAUUGUGUGUGUUGCAAUCAACUCCCUGUGCUAAAUGUGGCUUUGGCAGAUCCUCUCAAGCUUCACUAAAUCCCCCUCAUUUAGGGAAGGAGAGCGUCUUGGACUGUCUGCCACCCCAUUUGCUCUGGCCAACCUCGGUACAUGGUGGUGCCCGCUGUCCCCAAAGGCUUUUGGCAGGGCUGUAUCAUGGGCAGCAACGCUGUGAGGAAGGGAGGAGAAAGCUAGAAACAAUAUUACCAUGGGAAGAGCAGCUCAAGAAAUAGGAAGUCAAUCCCUGGUAAAACCACUUGACCUUUAUUACCUUUUAUUUAUGGCCCAGGGGUGCCAGCCUGGUCUUUGCUUACAGCUUUGGGUAUCUCCUUUGGCUGAUGUGACCAGGGCAGCACUUGCUGGGCUGCCUGGUCUGGACAUGGCAUCCAGAAGACGGUGGUCUUCAAAAAGCAGGCAGAGGUGUUGGGAAAUACAGAGGGAAAACCUGAGAGGAGCAACAAGGCUGGACUUAGAGACCUGGAAAACCUGUGAGGUCCCGAAGACAGCAGUGAAACCAUCGUUCCCAUGGUACAUAUUUGACCCUCUGCCAGGGGAAAACUUCUGAGGUUAAACUAACAAAUGGAGGCAUUUUUCUGCCACAAAGAAGCUCUUUUUUGGGUCUGGGCAACCUAAUCCACUUGCAGCACUGACGGCAGCUCAUGGAAAUGUUUGGCGGAUGGAAGGGGAGGGAGGCAGAGGAGAGUGCCAGGGAUGGAACAGAGUGGAGGUGCCCCACCUGGAGAAUCAUAUUUCCACCUCAAUUUAGGCUCCUUUCAAUAGAGGCACAAGGGCCUACCAAUGCAGAUGCACCUUGUUGGAUGCUCACAGGGAAUUUUAAGAAGCCUUAUGGGGAUUUCUCGAGAGUGUCAACACCCAGUAUACAAAAAAUUGCAUCUUCUCCCCACAAGCCUCUCUGAAGACCUGAUGCUGUCUCCCUGUGACUGAGUUCCCUCUGCAGGUCAUGGUCAAAUGUCUUAUCUCCCAGAUGUGCUAUAAGAAUAAAUACAUUUAAAAAUUGCAAGAUACUCAGGAACACAGUCAUUUAUGUCAGAUACAUCCUACAAACAGGAGGGAAAGAAGUCUCUAAAGCAAAACUCAGUGUAUUUGCAGAUUCACAUGAGCUCAGUAACCGAUUGCCUCACAGCAGAUGCCCAGCACACUCAUUUCUGCAAAAGCAGGGAACACCAGCAUCUCUGUGCUGACAGCUCUUCAUUUGUAGUGAAGGGGUUCAACAUUUGGGGCUUCCCAGCAGAUUUGGGAGUGAGUUGACACUGAUGCCCCAGGUUCUGCAGGUUAUUCUCAUAGCAGCACAGUGCUCUGCUGCCCAAGAUCACCAGCAUGGGGUGCUACCAGUGCCUCCGAUGCCAACUGCUGCUGGAUAACCAUCUCCGUUAGCCAACAGAGACAAGCCAAGGCUGCCUCUGGGCACUGGGAAGCCAUGAGAGGCUUUGAGAGACAUCUACGUGCUCUUGGUAACAAAUCUAAUUCAAAGUCUAUGCAGCAGCACACCUAUAUGAGACAUGUCAUAGUUAGCAGAAUUACUUCAUUAUUUCCUGAGUAUCCAGCAGAGCUAAAAUCAAGAAGAAUUUUCCCAUCUUUGUAAUUUUCCCUGCCUAUAUGUGAAUUAGCAAUGGAAAUACAUUAAUUCUUUCAUCAGCAAAAA